rnacentral:rRNA from 1 species
AUUGAACGCUGGCGGCAUGCCUUACACAUGCAAGUCGAACGGCAGCACGGGGGCAACCCUGGUGGCGAGUGGCGAACGGGUGAGUAAUACAUCGGAACGUGUCCUGUAGUGGGGGAUAGCCCGGCGAAAGCCGGAUUAAUACCGCAUACGCUCUACGGAGGAAAGGGGGGGAUCUUAGAACCUCCCGCUACAGGGGCGGCCGAUGGCAGAUUAGCUAGUUGGUGGGGUAAAGGCCUACCAAGGCGACGAUCUGUAGCUGGUCUGAGAGGACGACCAGCCACACUGGGACUGAGACACGGCCCAGACUCCUACGGGAGGCAGCAGUGGGAAUUUUGGACAAUGGGGGCAACCCUGAUCCAGCAAUGCCGCGUGUGUGAAGGAGGCCUUCGGGUUGUAAAGCACUUUUGUCCGGAAAGAAAACGCCGUGGUUAAUACCCGUGGCGGAUGACGGUACCGGAAGAAUAAGCACCGGCUAACUAC